rnacentral:rRNA from 1 species
AGGGCGUACGGUGAAUGCCUUGGUGCCAACAGGCGAAGAAGGACGCGGCAAGCUGCGAAAAGCCUCGGGAAGCUGCAAGCAAGCGAUGAUCCGGGGAUAUCCGAAUGGGGUAACCUGAUCGAGGCAAUACUCGAUCGUUCAUACCUGAAUACAUAGGGUAUGAAACGCGAAACCCGCUGAAGUGAAACAUCUCAGUAAGCGGAGGAAAAGAAAGAGAAAUCGAUUCCGUAAGUAGUGGCGAGCGAAAGCGGAUGGAGCCCAAACCGAAGGUAUUCCUUCGGGGUUGUAGGACCACGUCAUAUUCGACCAUACUGGAUAGUAGAACAGCCUGGAAAGGCUGGCCGGAGAAGGUGAAAGCCCUGUAGACGAAAUCCAGAGUGGGAAUUAGUGGUAUCCUGAGUAAUACAUCACACGUGGAACGAUGUAUGAACCCGCGCGGACCACCGCGCAAGGCUAAAUACUAGUUGGCGACCGAUAGUGAACAAGUACCGCGAGGGAAAGGUGAAAAGAACCGCUGUGAGCGGAGUGAAAUAGAACCUGAAACCGUAUGUCUACAAAGUGUCAGAGCAGAGCAAUCUGCGAUGGCGUGCCUUUUGUUUAAUGAGUCUGCGAGUCAGUGUUUGUGGCAAGACUAAGGGCUUCCGGCCCGGAGUCGCAGCGAAAGCAAGUCCGAACAGGGCGCAAUAAGUCGCAGGUACUGGACCCGAAGCGGAGGUGACCUACCCUUGGCCAGGUUGAAGCAUGGGUAAAACCAUGUGGAGGACCGAACAGGUGAACGUUGAAAAGUUCUCUGAUGAGCUGAGGGUAGGAGUGAAAGGCUAAUCAAACCCCGUGAUAGCUGGUUCUCUUCGAAAUGCAUUUAGGUGCAGCGUCACGUGCUGAUGCGCGGGGGUAGAGCACUGACAAGGCUAGGGGGCACACCCGCUUACCAAACCUUAUCAAACUCCGAAUACCGUGCAAUGGAACGUGGCAGUGAGACAGUGGGGGAUAAGCUUCAUUGUCGAGAGGGAAACAACCCAGACCAGCAGCUAAGGUGCCUAAAUAACGCUCAGUGGAAAGGAUGUGGGAUUACACAGACAGUGAGGAUGUUGGCUUAGAAGCAGCCACCAUUUAAAAAAUGCGUAAUAGCUUACUCAUCGAGUGAUCCUGCGCCGAAAAUGAUUGGCGAUCAAGCGUUAUACCGAAGCUCUGGACUUUGCCGCAAGGCAGAGUGGUAGAAGAGCGUUGCAUGCGCGUCGAAGGGCGAUGGCGACUGACCCUGGAGCACAUGCAAGUGAGUAUGCAGACAUGAGUAACGUUAAGCCGGGUGAAAUCCCCGGCCGCCGUAAACCCGAGGUUUCCAGGGCAACGUGUUUCGUCCCUGGGUUAGCCGGGACCUAAGCCGAGGCCGAGAGGCGUAGGCGAUGGACAUCAGGUUAAUAAUCCUGAGCUCGCAACCCUUAAACUGGGGGGACGCAUGAGAAAAGAUGACUAGGUUAUUGAAUUCCGAGUUGAGUCUACGGACUCAGCGCAUCAUUGGAUCGAGUGCCAAGAAAAGCCCCAGCGUAUGCUAAGCGACCCGUACCGCAAACCGACACAGGUGGGUGGGUAGAAUAUACCAAGGCGUAAGAGUGAAACCUGGUUAAGGAACUCGGCAAAUUAGCCCCGUAACUUCGGAAGAAGGGGUGCCUGCAGCGAUGCAGGCCGCAGAGAAAUGGCCCAACCGACUGUUUAUCAAAAACACAGCACUCUGCAAAGACGCAAGUCGAAGUAUAGGGUGUGACACGUGACCAAUGCCGAAAGAUUAAGGCAAGGGGUUAGCCGCAAGGCGAAGCUCUAAACCCAAGUCCCGGUGAAUGUCGGCCGUAACUAUAACGGUCCUAAGGUAGCGAAAUUCCUUGUCGGGUAAGUUCCGACCUGCACGAAUCGUGAAACGAGUUGGGCACUGUCUCAACCAGGCGCUCAGUGAAAUUGUAGUGGCGGUGAAGAUGCCGCCUACCCGCAGAAGGACGGAAAGACCCUAUAGACCUUAACUGUAAGCUGUCAUUGUUUCUUCGGUUUUAAUGCUCAGAGUAAGUGGGAGACGCUGAAGACGCCCUUUAGGGGGCGUCCGAGUCAUCAAUGAGACACCACCCUUUGAAACUGGAGGAUCUAACCCUGAGCCGUGAAUCCGGCCAGAGGACCGUGUCAGCCGGUCAGUUUUACUGGGGCGGUAUCCUCCCAAAGAGUAACGGAGGAGCGCGAAGGUGGGCUCAGCCCGGUUGGCAACCGGGUGUCGAGUGCAUGGGCAUAAGCCCGCCUAACUGUGAGACCAACAAGUCGAGCAGAUGCGAAAGCAGGCCCAAGUGAUCCGGCGGUAGAAAGUGGAAUUGCCGUCGCUCAACGGAUAAAAGGUACCUUAGGGAUAACAGGCUGAUCACGCCCAAGAGUUCAUAUCGACGGAGUGGUUUGGCACCUCGAUGUCGGCUCGUCGCAUCCUGGGGCUGGAGAAGGUCCCAAGGGUCCGGCUGUUCGCCGGUUAAAGCGGCACGCGAGCUGGGUUCAGAACGUCGCGAGACAGUUCGGUCCUCUAUCCUCUGUGGGCGUUGGAAAAUUGAGGGGUUCAGACCUUAGUACGAGAGGACCGGGUCUGACGCACCACUGGUGCAUCGGUUGUACUGUCAAGUGCAUGGCCGAGUAGCUAAGUGCGGACGGGAUAAGCGCUGAAAGCAUCUAAGCGCCAAGCCCUUCCCAAGAUGAGUUUUCCCUCAGGUUCGUGGAAGACCACCACGUUGAUAGGUCGCAGGUGUAAGUGCAGCAAUGUAUUGAGCCGAGCGAUACUAAUUACCAAUUGACUUCAUC